rnacentral:rRNA from 1 species
UGCUCCCUGAAGUCAGCGGCGGACGGGUGAGUAACACGUGGGCAACCUGCCUGUAAGACUGGGAUAACUCCGGGAAACCGGGGCUAAUACCGGAUAAUUCUUUCCCUCACAUGAGGGAAAGCUGAAAGAUGGUUUCGGCUAUCACUUACAGAUGGGCCCGCGGCGCAUUAGCUAGUUGGUGAGGUAACGGCUCACCAAGGCAACGAUGCGUAGCCGACCUGAGAGGGUGAUCGGCCACACUGGGACUGAGACACGGCCCAGACUCCUACGGGAGGCAGCAGUAGGGAAUCUUCCGCAAUGGACGAAAGUCUGACGGAGCAACGCCGCGUGAGUGAUGAAGGUUUUCGGAUCGUAAAACUCUGUUGUUAGGGAAGAACAAGUACCGGAGUAACUGCCGGUACCUUGACGGUACCUAACCAGAAAGCCACGGCUAACUACGUGCCAGCAGCCGCGGUAAUACGUAGGUGGCAAGCGUUGUCCGGAAUUAUUGGGCGUAAAGCGCGCGCAGGCGGUUCCUUAAGUCUGAUGUGAAAGCCCCCGGCUCAACCGGGGAGGGUCAUUGGAAACUGGGGAACUUGAGUGCAGAAGAGAAGAGUGGAAUUCCACGUGUAGCGGUGAAAUGCGUAGAGAUGUGGAGGAACACCAGUGGCGAAGGCGACUCUUUGGUCUGUAACUGACGCUGAGGCGCGAAAGCGUGGGGAGCAAACAGGAUUAGAUACCCUGGUAGUCCACGCCGUAAACGAUGAGUGCUAAGUGUUAGAGGGUUUCCGCCCUUUAGUGCUGCAGCAAACGCAUUAAGCACUCCGCCUGGGGAGUACGGCCGCAAGGCUGAAACUCAAAG